rnacentral:lncRNA from 1 species
CUUUGCGUGAGUCACUGCCGGGCUCGGCGUGAGUCGCUGCGGGGCUGACGGGGUGGCAGUGCGGCGGGUUACGGCCUGGUCAACCAUAAUGACUUCAGCAAAUAAAGCAAUCGAAUUACAACUACAAGUGAAACAAAAUGCAGAAGAAUUACAAGACUUUAUGCGGGAUUUAGAAAACUGGGAAAAAGACAUUAAACAAAAGGAUAUGGAACUAAGAAGACAGAAUGGUGUUCCUGAAGAGGUAAAUUAAGAAUUCGUAAUUAAGAUCCACCAAAACUAAUUUUA